UUCCAUUCCAACAUUCCAGUAACAGGAGCCACCCAACCAUGUCUCUGUGAUGCCAAUAAGAUCAUAACCCUGUAGGUGUGUGUACAUCUCUAACUGGUUUUACUUGUACCUUAUGCAGCAUGCUUUUGCAUAGAGGCCUGGGGUUGCGGCCCCAGUGACUUUAGUGGAUGAAACAACAGGAAUUCCUUUGUGCUGCAGACAAGCACUAAGUGUUGGCCACUUGCUUUGAGAAAUCAAUGGUUGCAGAGCAAUAGGAAGAGAAUGAUCUGCAAAGCAAGGAGGGCCAGGCACAGAGCAUCCGCUUGCAACCAGCCGGACAGUGACCUCACCAACUUGGACACAGUCCACCGUGCCCGAGCAAGGAGAGUGGUUCUGAGACAAUAUGCAGGAUCAGCAAUCACUCAGUAAGAUCAAACAGGUCCCAAGCAAAGGUGGUGGAAGGGAACAUCUGCUGAGGCUUCUUCCAGCACUCCACAGCAGCUCCAGUCAGAUAAAUUCCUAGAAGGAGGGACGUGAACUCCAGAUCCUGACACAUAACAUAGGAAUUCCCAUUAAGAUAAUGAUUCUUCAAUCAAGGAAAAAACUCUCCAAGAAAACAUAUUCUAACUUUCUGAGGGCAAAAUGUUGACAGCUGAGCAGAAUUUGGUGAGACAGACUCAAAAUCAAAUACAAGCAAGUUUAGUUAUUUUCUUUGUCUCCAAGGAAGAAAUAGAGAACUUCACAUAUUUUACACUGCUCUAACUUUUUUUAUUUAUUCCCUAUUAUUUAUUUGGGUUAAUUGCUAGUCUGCCCUUCACUGCACAAGAAGAAGCAUUUGUGCUUCUCUUUACAUCAAAAUCUAAAUCCACCAUAACUGAGUAAGGUUCAGAUCCUGGAGACACUUCUAGGCAGCCCAGAAACUCUACCAAACUUUAAUGAAUUUUCUUGAUGGGCAGUUGUUAAUCUUGUGCUGAAUAUUCCAGAUUAUGUAAAAAUAGGUAUUUUUGCCAAUAAAUAUACAUGAUGACUAAUUAAGAUUGAAAAUUAUUCUGUUUAUCAAAAUCCUUAUUCUCACUACUCUUAAUUGUAUUUCAGGUCCAAUGACAGCAGUCGCUGGAUGUAGUUUAGAUGUAUUUGCAACCUUUCAUUUGUACAUUUCUCUGUAUUAAGUACAUUUUAAAUAUGUAUUUGAAA